rnacentral:rRNA from 1 species
CGUGCCAGCAGCCGCGGUAAUACGUAGGCAGCAAGCGUUGUUCGGAGUUACUGGGCGUAAAGGGUGUGUAGGCGGCCUGUUAAGUUCCGUGUGAAAUCUCCCGGCUCAACUGGGAGGGUGCGCGGAAAACUGGCGGGCUAGAGUGCGGGAUGGGAGAGUAGAAUUCCUGGUGUAGCGGUGAAAUGCGUAGAUAUCAGGAGGAAUACCGGUGGUGUAGACGGCUCUCUGGACCGUAACUGACGCUGAGACACGAAAGCGUGGGUAGCAAACAGGAUUAGAUACCCUGGUAGUCCACGCCCUAAACGAUGCAUAUUUGGUGUAGGUCAUUCAGUUGAUCUGUGCCGGAGCUAACGCGUUAAAUAUGCCGCCUGGGGAGUACAGUCGCAAGGCUG